rnacentral:rRNA from 1 species
UACAGAGGGUGCAAGCGUUAAUCGGAAUUACUGGGCGUAAAGCGUGCGUAGACGGUUAUGUAAGUCGGGUGUGAAAGCCCCGGGCUCAACCUGGGGAUUGCAUUCGAGACUGCAUAGCUAGGGUGCGGAAGAGGGAAGCGGAAUUUCCGGUGUAGCGGUGAAAUUCGUAGAUAUUGGGAAGAACACCGGUGGCGAAGGCAGCAUUCUGGGCUUGACCUGACGCUGAGGCACGAAAGCCAGGGGAGCGAACGGG